UAUUUACAGACCACCGUCAUAUAGCUGGAAUAUUGCUGAGUGUGGCGUUAAACAACAAAACAACCAACAACCAACCUUUGUGUAAAUAAUGUGUUAUACCAUACAUAAACAAUGACAUAAACAGGAAUAAUGCAUAACGUGUUAUAAGGAUGAUAGUAAGAUAACUCCAUAUUACACGUUUUGAAUUCCUUCACUUAUAUCUACAGCUUUCGCAUCAAAACAGCAGAAUAUGGUGGUGGUGAACACACACUGUGAAUGCCCAGCUGGUAAAGGUCCCAAUGGAACCUGCAAACACCUUGCUUCCUUCCUCCUCAUGUUGUCUCAGUUCAAGUCUACAGGUGUGAUUGCUGUGAGGUGUGAUCCUGCACAGACAUACUGCAGACAUUCCACAGGCCACAAAAGGAAUAUUCAGAUUCACCAAAGAAAGCAGUCUCAUUCAAGUGUGGGGCGAAGCAGCCAUCAAUGUUUGAUGACCCAAGACUGUCAAAAUACAGAAAAAGUACAUCUUAUAGGGACCAUGUGCAAAACAUCACCCUCAACUAAUGCUCUUCAGCGUCUGAGGAUAUCACGAAUAGAUACCUGUUUGAAAGAGCCAGUCUGUCAUCUGCAGUAACAGAUCAUGACUAUCUGGAAAGCCCUUCACAAAAUACUGGGUGGAGAGAGCCUUGAAGAUUACAGAUGACCAGGCUGCAGAAAAAGACAAGGAAGCAGGCUAAGUGUAGCUUGUGGCAUGAAGAGAGGAGAUGGAGGUUGACAGCAUCUCAGUUUGGGACAAUUUGCAAAUGUACAAGGAGAAACAAAACUAAAUUAUGUAAACAAAUUGUCUCUGGAAAAAAACUAGUUUGUAACUCUGUGAGGCAUGGGUUACAGCAGGAACCCCAAGCUGUUGCCAAACUUGAGAUAGAAAUGUGCAUGUUAAACCGUUGUGGAAUGUUUGUUGACUCUGAACUCCCUUUCCUUGCAGCAACCCCAGAUGGUGUCAUUGAUUGUACUACCAUUGCUGAGGUUGUUUAAAUGUCCUUACAGUGCUAGAAAUGAGGUCAUUGCUCCAGGGAAACUCUUUCCUUAUCUUUGUGAGAGAAAUGGUCUCAUACAACUAAAAGAAAACAGUAAUUACUACUUUCAGGUGCGACCCGUGAAGAUUCCGGAGUAGAAUAGGUCUUCAGCAACCCAUGAUUGCCAUAAAAGGCGACUGUGCU